ensembl:snRNA U6 U6 spliceosomal RNA
GUACCAGCUUAGGUGGCAUAGAUACCUCAAUUGGAACAAAGUAGAAAAGAUUAACAUGGCCCCUGCACAAAGACAGCACACAAGUUCAUGAAUCACUCCAUAUUUUU